GAGCAGGACGUUGAACUUGGGUAGGUGAA
rnacentral:piRNA from 1 species